rnacentral:lncRNA from 1 species
UCCCAUGGACUGACUUGUAUUUGUUUUUGAUAAUUCAUGACAUAGAUUCUCCUAUUUUAUUUCUCCAAUUCAAUUAGAUGCCAAAUCUGGAAAGAAAGGUUGUGGAAGAUGUUUUCUUGUUGUUACCCCCCUUUUUUUGAAGAAAGAGUUGAAUUGGUUAGUUAUCCAGUAAAGUAACAAGUAAAAAAAAUAGCAGUAAUAGAUACUUUCUAUUUGAUGACAGAAAAAAAAGACUCUUUCGUGGUUGAUAGAGUUUUCUUUUUAAAUAAGAUAUGGAAAGACAAAAAAACUGCGGAACCCGAGUUUGAGGGAUGGGAUCUCAUAUCCUUUUUCUUCUGUUGUAGUAUAGUAAAGGAAUGGAAUCCACGACUAAAUCUAAUGAUAAAAAAGUGAAAGGGCAUUCUAAGGUAACUCGUUUUUUGUUUUAAAUAAAAAAAAUCGAACAAAUUACAUACAAUAA